CCCCAUCUCUCUAGUUUCUCUCAAGAAGCCAGCGCCACUCCCUGUAUGCACCUCUAGUGUAGGGUUAUCUGGAGCUUUAGGUUCAAAGGAAAGAGUGAGGUCUGCUGCUCCCUUCCUCCCUCCUACCCUGUUCCUCACCAACUCCUGGACGGUCCCCGCCAUGGGGUUGAGAACUGGGGCUAUGCUGGGAUGUGUCCGUGACACUGAUCGUGGUGGCCAGAGAGACACCGAGGGAGACUGCUCUGCCACCAGAGAGCUGACAUGAGGAAGGAGCCCCAGACUAAAAACAGUGAGUCUCAGGAGACUUGGGAGGUGGCCGCAGGGAUAACCCAACCCUCCAAUUAACGUGCCUGAGCCAGUCUCCUCCUACGUCUGGAACUUUAGGAGAGCUGCCCACAGCAGAAUGACUCGGCAAGGAGAAGGGCUUGUCGGGUCUAGCUGGGAGCGGAGGUGGGCCAGGCUGCCAGAGGGAGGCUCUGGGUGGUGCCCUUAAGAGUCUCCGUCAUGAGCUGUUUUGCACUGUGAGCAUACCUCCAGAGAAGUGCCGAAAGCUUGCAUUCUUGCAGGUAAUACACCCAGCACCCAGAUCAAGAAACGGAACAUAAUCGGCACCCCAGAACCCCACCCUAAAUAUGUAAUUUUAAAAAAGAUUUUAAUAAAUAUCUUUUAGCACGCCCUUUA